GAUGAACGCUGGCGGCGUGCUUAACACAUGCAAGUCGAACGAUGAAGCCCAGCUUGCUGGGUGGAUUAGUGGCGAACGGGUGAGUAACACGUGAGUAACCUGCCCUUGACUCUGGGAUAAGCCUGGGAAACUGGGUCUAAUACUGGAUAUGACUUCUCAUCGCAUGGUGGGGGGUGGAAAGAUUUAUUGGUCUUGGAUGGACUCGCGGCCUAUCAGCUUGUUGGUGAGGUAAUGGCUCACCAAGGCGACCACCGGUAGCCGGCCUGAGAGGGUGACCGGCCACACUGGGACUGAGACACGGCCCAAACUCCUACGGGAGGCAGCAGUGGGGAAUAUUGCACAAUGGGCGCAAGCCUGAUGCAGCGACCCCCCGUGAGGGAUGACCGCCUUCCGGUUGUAAACCUCUUUCACUAAGGAAGAAACGAGAGUGACGGUACCUGCAGAAAAAGCGCCGGCUAACUACGUGCCAGCAGCCGCGGUAAUACGUAGGGCGCGAGCGUUAUCCGGAAUUUUGGGGCGUAAGAGCUCGUAAGCGGUUUGUCGCGUCUGCCGUGAAAGUCCGGGGCUUAACUCCGGAUCUGCGGUGGGUACGGGCAGACUAGAGUGCAGUAGGGGAGACUGGAAUUCCUGGUGUAGCGGUGAAAUGCGCAGAUAUCAGGAGGAACACCGAUGGCGAAGGCAGGUCUCUGGGCUGUAACUGACGCUGAGGAGCGAAAGCAUGGGGAGCGAACAGGAUUAGAUACCCUGGUAGUCCAUGCCGUAAACGUUGGGCACUAGGUGUGGGGGACAUUCCACGUUUUCCGCGCCGUAGCUAACGCACUAAGUGCCCCGCCUGGGGAGUACGGCCGCAAGGCUAAAACUCAAAGGAAUUGACGGGGGCCCGCACAAGCGGCGGAGCAUGCGGAUUAAUUCGAUGCAACGCGAAGAACCUUACCAAGGCUUGACAUGUUCCUGAUCGCCGUAGAGAUACGGUUUCCCCUUUGGGGCAGGUUCACAGGUGGUGCAUGGUUGUCGUCAGCUCGUGUCGUGAGAUGUUGGGUUAAGUCCCGCAACGAGCGCAACCCUCGUUCCAUGUUGCCAGCACUUCGGGUGGGGACUCAUGGGAGACUGCCGGGGUCAACUCGGAGGAAGGUGGGGACGACGUCAAAUCAUCAUGCCCCUUAUGUCUUGGGCUUCACGCAUGCUACAAUGGCCGGUACAAUGGGUUGCGAUACUGUGAGGUGGAGCUAAUCCCAAAAAGCCGGUCUCAGUUCGGAUUGGGGUCUGCAACUCGACCCCAUGAAGUCGGAGUCGCUAGUAAUCGCAGAUCAGCAACGCUGCGGUGAAUACGUUCCCGGGCCU
rnacentral:rRNA from 1 species